rnacentral:lncRNA from 1 species
AGAAGCAUCAUAUAGGAAGAAGUAUGGGGGUAGUUUCUCCAAAAGGAAGGAGGGGGAAACUAAUUCAGUAACUGUGGGGAGGCAGAGGAGGCCUCAUGUCAGAAAGAGUUCUCAACCCUGUCAACAUCAACAUCAAGUUUCAUCAGUGAUCCCUGUAUUUUCCAACAAUUCCAACAACCAAUUAGUUCUGAUUCAACAAC